rnacentral:lncRNA from 1 species
CCUGAAGCUGUCGUGUCCUUUUUCUGUCUGUCCUGGCAUCCCUUCAGGUUGUCUCUGCACUGCCAUGCUCAUCAGAAUCUUGUUGCUUGUGCACAUGGCUGCAGACCCUAUGAUCUCAGAAGCCCUGCUGCCAACAAAAUGGGCAAGUUCAUAGCUGUGGGCUUGCCGCUGCUGCUGAUGUCCCUGGCCCAGGAGUUUUCCAGUGUGUUGCUGCCACUACCCGGUGCAGCAGGGGUAGACUACACUACCUUAUUCCUCUCAUUGCAUGGGAUCUGGAGUAAGACAGCU